CGCGCGGGUAGGGCCGAGGGGGCCGCCCUCCCUCGAACCCGAAACGGGCGUAAUGCGGGGGCCAGUAACCUCCCCCCGGACGCCGGGGAUGGGGGGCAACGGGUUGCACGGUCUACGAUGACUCCCGCCCCGCGGGGCCAGCGGUGACGGAGUCUCGGCUCGAGGGCCGAGGCUACCGUCUUUACCGGGGAAACCCGGCCAGGCCCGGAAGGGAGCAACCUAGCCUCGGACGCUGGCGUUCGCGGGUCACCGGGCUGAGGAUGACCGUGCAACCUGCCCUGUUCCCGGCGUCUAGGGGGAGGAGCCGCGCG
rnacentral:SRP_RNA from 1 species